CUAUUGUUUUAAUUACAAUUAUUUAUAUAGUGGCAGCUCUGUGAUGAAUGAAUAUACUAAUUAAAUUAUAUAUUAUGAUAGACACAUUUACAGACAGUACCAUGGAAUGAGCUUUAGUUGUCAGCAAAUGUCAUUCUAAAGGAGUAAAAUUUAUUUUAGUAAUGUUGAGAGGAAAAUAUUCAGGCCCUAAUAAUUUUUUGGGAUAAUCUUUUCAAAUGAUUUCAUAUUUCUCAGUAAAAUAAAAUCAAUUCAAAAAUAUAUCCUAUUUUUAAAAAAA